UGGGGAAUUUUGCACAAUGGGGGAAACCCUGAUGCAGCGACGCCGCGUGAUUUAGAAGGCCUUCGGGUUGUAAAAAUCUUUUCUAUGGGAAGAAAAUGACAGUACCAUAGGAAUAAGGACCGGCUAAUUACGUGCCAGCAGCCGCGGUACUACGUAAGGUCCGAGCGUUGUCCGGAAUCAUUGGGCGUAAAGGGUACGUAGGCGGGUAAGCAAGUUAGAAGUGAAAUCCUAUAGCUCAACUAUAGUAAGCUUUUAAAACUGCUCAUCUUGAGGUAUGGAAGGGAAAGUGGAAUUCCUAGUGUAGCGGUGAAAUGCGCAGAUAUUAGGAGGAAUACCGGUGGCGAAGGCGACUUUCUGGCCAUAACCUGACGCUGAGGUACGAAAGCGUGGGUAGCAAACAGG
rnacentral:rRNA from 1 species